rnacentral:misc_RNA from 1 species
GAUGAAGAACGCAGCGAAAUGCGAUAAGUAAUGUGAAUUGCAGAAUUCAGUGAAUCAUCGAAUCUUUGAACGCACAUUGCGCCCGCUGGUAUUCCGGCGGGCAUGCCUGUUCGAGCGUCGUUUCAACCCUCAAGCUCUCCGGAGUUUGGUGUUGGGGCGCCUGGGGCUUUUCGACCUCAGGGCCCUCAAGUCCAUCGGCGGGACCGCCAGGACACUGAGCGCAGUAGUAUUAUUUCGCUCGGUAGGAUCUUCCACGGCGGGUCGAUCUGGCCGCUAAACCCCCCAAUUCUCACCAAAGGUUGACCUCGGAUCAGGUAGGAAUACCCGCUGAACUUAAGCAUAUCAAUAAGCGGAGGA